GAUUUACAGAUACCCAAAGAGCUGCCUGCAGCAGAGAAGGUUGAACUUCUUGUGACACAGUGGGAGGCAGAGCGCAAGAAAGAGCCAAGUGAGGAUGUCUUCAUGGUGCCAGCCAACAUCUUGGUGAUCCCUCCUGAAGAGGAGGAAGUUUGUGAUGCCUCCAAGGUAGAUGCAUGUGAAAUGACUCCAGGGAAGAGCAGUGAUGACCAAAUGGUGCCAGGUGACCAAAGUGCCAUAUCCCAAGUCAGC